rnacentral:rRNA from 1 species
UACGUAGGGGGCAAGCGUUAUCCGGAUUUACUGGGUGUAAAGGGAGCGUAGACGGUAUGGUAAGUCAGAUGUGAAAGCCCGGGGCUCAACCCCGGGACUGCAUUUGAAACUGCCAAACUAGAGUGCAGGAGAGGUAAGUGGAAUUCCUAGUGUAGCGGUGAAAUGCGUAGAUAUUAGGAGGAACACCAGUGGCGAAGGCGGCUUACUGGACUGUAACUGACGUUGAGGCUCGAAAGCGUGGGGAGCAAACAGG